ensembl:lncRNA COPB2-DT COPB2 divergent transcript
GGGAAGGAGGGGUGUGGCCUAGACCACUAAGGGCCGUGACGUGGUGCCGCUGAGCUUGGACCCCGACCAGAAGAUAGAGAUUGAAACGAUGAGGAAAACGAAGUGCCUAAUCCCCGCUGGACGCUAACUGCAGGGCAAGCUCCCCAGUGUUGUAGUUGUGUUUCGGAGGCCGAGAACCGCUAUCGGGCUUCCUCGGACUCUGGCCCUGGAGGGGGGAAACGGCGAGGGAGAAGGCGAAACGAGUCUCCAGUGUGUUCUUGGGGCCUGGUGCGAGGCCCAGAGAAUUCUCUGCAGGCCUUUGCCCGGGCACUGAUUAAGGCUGCGAAGAGACGCACCGGGCUGCGGGCUUAGUAGCUUCAGGCUUCUGAAGUCAGAGGGAGGGCUGAGAGCUUACACUUCUGGAGCUCCCCGGGAGACGGCAACUACCCAACCGUGUGGGUGUGUUUGUCACCCAGAAAUACUCUCCACACCAUGCUGCACUGCUGCGGAUGAGGGAAGGAUGGUGUCGGGGCUUCAAGACUGUUUUUCCUACCUCUUCAGUGCCUCUUUCAGUGAUAUGAAGUUAAAACCAGGAACAUGGAGGAGACAUAUUUCCACCUAUUUCUCUCCAUAAGUAUAAAAGACCAUAAAAGACCAUCUAGGGACUUCAGAACCCAAAUAAUGACACAAUGGUUCUGAAGCAACACUGUAACUGCUGAAUGCUUCUGGCUGCUUCUUUCCACAGUAAAAGAUGAAAAGAAAUAUCUUUUAUUGAGAUAGACUGAGGUCCAGGAAAAACAAGUGCAACUUCAUGGUCCUUUUCUUCAUAUUCUGGAAUACAAGAAAACGUGUAAAUGUUUGCAAAUUCAGGUGCUAAGAGUUUUGCAUGUAUAGCAGUACUUUUACCAUCUGUUUCAUUUGGAUGUUUAAUGAUGUCAAUCUUCAAUGGAAGUUUCACAAGUGGAAUCUGUUCAAUAGGUACAUUUUCAACUGGAAUGUAACAUGUAGAGCAGUAGAACAUUCUGGAACCACCACAUUUGAGACAUUUUGAUCUCCCACUUUGCUGAGCUUUUUGAAGAACUUCUUGAGAUGCUAAACAUAAGUUUUGAAGGGGAUCUUCUGAAGCUAUGGAAGUAGUUUGUGACUGUUUUGUUUCCACAAAGUUUGAAUUAUUUUCUUCACUUCAUUUGAGAAAUAUAGGUGGAUUGAGAGACAUUCUUCAUUCAAACAAAAGUUUAACAGCUAUUUCUAAAACACAUAUCAUCUGAAGCUAUGGAAGUAGUUUGUGACUGUUUUGUUUCCACAAAGUUUGAAUUAUUUUCUUCACUUCAUUUGAGAAAUAUAGGUGGAUUGAGAGACAUUCUUCAUUCAAACAAAAGUUUAACAGCUAUUUCUAAAACACAUAUCAUAUGUGCACUGCGAGUCCUCGAACAGCUCCACGCGUCUCCAGCUCUGCCCAAGCCCGAGCCACGCGACGGGCUGUGAUCGCGCACGGACCAGACGGUUUUGAGACGAAACAUGGCACGAGUCUCUCAGAACCCUGCUUGAGCAGAGCAGUUACAUUAUAUUCCACAAGUCAUAAAUAUUUGGGGAGCAAAAUCGAUUCCUGCAGCAGUGGUGGAGGGAUGCAGAGUGAUUGCUGUACUUUGAUACAAGUCAUCUACCUCGUGGCCAGCUGAGGUGGAUUAAAGUCUUCCCAGGAGGUAGGGCUUAAUCUCUGGCCAUAGGGCUCCUGGAAUGGCCAUAGAGGGUAGUCAGUGUGGGCUACUGUCCUUCUGGUCCCUGCCAGAGGUCAAGGCUGACAGGCACAGGAACAAUUCCUUCAAGGCCUGAUGGCCCAGAAAAUAAAGUUUGACUCCUUCAUUUGGCCGCGGGAGUGUCUUCGCUGCACACAGCAGCUGAGCUCAGUCGGGAAUGCUCAUUCAGGCUCCCUGCCUGUGGGUAACCUGGACUCUAUCCUGGUCUCUCCAUGUUUGCUGUGUGAGCUGUGAGCCCUGAAUAGGAUGCAGAGCAGAAGCCCCCUGCCUUUAGUUUCCUCUUAGCCUAUCUACAAUUCUUCCCUGCCUGGAAAGGGUGUUCGGAACAGGCCUCUCACCAUCUGCUUCUUUUACCUGUUUUACUCUCCCUUUCUCCUACUCAUGGAGGGUGGAAUUUCUACUUCCAGUUUCUAUUUAAAAGGGAUUUUCCCAUAUGCCAUUUCUACUCCAUCCUUUCCUCCCACCAUGAUGACUGGCUGGCUGCUGAGAAACAUGAUUUAUGCAGGAGAGGGUGAUAAACACAUAGUUUAAUGUUUUCUAAAUAUGAACCUUGUUUUUCUCAUUUUAUCUACAAGCAUGUGUGACUGUGGUGUGCAUAAAACUGUGUCAACAAUGGUUUCUUUCCUUGAGGAGCUCACAUUUACAAAGAAAGGAAGAAAUUUCAACCAAAAAAUAAAAAACACCAAACCUGAAAGGAAAAUCAACAGCAAGAGCCUGGACUUUCUAAACUAGGAGGAAGGCAGAGCUCCAGGAGACUCUUCUCAUUUCUCUGAGGGCAUGGAAACUCCAAUGUGGAAUAGAGCUUGGAGUUUAAAAAGAUAGUCUCUUCUGUGUCCUGGAUAGAGACCACACCAAAGGUUUGCAAUAUAGAGGCACAACAAUCAAAAUCAUGAAUUGAGAUGUCCUUGACAUUCCAU